GGGUCCUUAGCUCAGUGGUUAGAGCAGUCGGCUCAUAACCGAUUGGUCGUAGGUUCAAAUCCUACAGGACCCACCA
rnacentral:tRNA from 1 species